GAAUGACAAACGUGAUAUAAAACGUAAAUUGCUUUAACAUUUUUGUAAUCUGUUGAGAACAAACUAUACUGUAUGAAGGUAAGUGAACCACUAAUAACUUGAGAAUUAUUGCUAAAAUUUAGAAAAAACCUUUAGGUUCCGUCAUUGCCAUUUAAUACUCUGUAUGGAAGAUUAUGGCUUCAUAACUUUGAAUGCAUUACCAAACACAUUUGGUUACCACUCAUUUAUUUUUAUUUUUAAUUUCUUUGAGCUGCGUUUUGUACAUAUUUGAACGUAAUUUCACAGGCAUUAAAAAAAUCGAAGAUACAAAUAUCAGUCGAAUACAGAUACAAAUCAUGUCAAAUAAAGAGACGAAAAUUUUAUAUUCAAUAAUCGCACUGUCAACAAAAAGUAUACAUGUAAAUAUGUAAGAAAUUAAAACAUAGAAAUGAAUCAAAUAUAUAUUAUUUAUCGUUAAGAGUGAGACACCGCUAUUUAAAAAAUAAAAUCACAAAAAUCCGAGGAAAAUUCAAAACGGAAAGUCCCCAAAAAAUGGCAAAAUCAUAUGUUCAAAUACAUCAAACGAUUGGAUAUCAACGGGUACAGGCAUGUUCUUAUGCAGGAAAUGAUGCAGUGAACCUGGUUUUAUACCUAGCUAAAACUCUUACUUGUAUGACAGUCGCAUCAAAUUCCAUAUACGCUUGUAUAUGGACAACGAUGCAUAAACAAAGCAAACAAGGCAUAAUAGAUAAAAAUGUCAAAAAAGGGGUUCAGCAGUCAACAUUGACUUUUAAUCUUCAUCACUCUAAAACAAACAAAUACGUAACAAAGAAGCACAAAAAGGCAUAUAUCAAAUUUAACAACCUAAUACUGUAACAUUGCUUUUUUAUUAUACGAUUUUAUAUUUCUAUGUUCAAUUCACUCAUAAAGGAUUGAUAAUUUUAAUUUUAAUUUGAUAAUGUUAACCUUCUUUACGAACGUUAUCUCGUUAUAUGAGAUUUUGAUGAAUUUUAUGCUUUUCUAAAUUGCAUUUAUGGUUCUAGUGCAUUAGUUUUUAAUGACUUACAUUAAACUAUCACAUGUGAAUGCACAUGCAUUCUUAGUGUAAUUGCACUCGGGUAAAACGUACCUUGUGUAUUUAUAAUGAAUUCUUCUUUCGUGCUCUUGCUUUAAGUGUUUAUUAAGCUAUCAUCUCUAUGGAAUGACAUAAAUAGGAAGAUCAAGCAUACUUGCUAGGAAGACACUUUAAUGAAAAUUAAGAAUUUCAAAAAAAGAAGUAGGCACAUUUGAAAUAGAACAUACAAAAGGCAAUGAUUUAAGAAUGUUUAGCUUCACAAGGUAGUGAUCGGAUCAUUGGCCCCCCUACAUUUGCCACUGCAAGGGUUCAUAUGGUCAUUCAAAAACUCUAUACUAUAGAAAGACGGAUUAUUCCACGGCAAAAUGUAAAUUACCAGGAUAUCAUUUAAUUAACUACAAUCUAUUCAAAACGAAACACACGGGCAACCACGGAUAUAUAAAGAUGUCAAGACGAGAUGAAUAGUGUUUGAUCAUCAUAUUGUAAAACAAUGACUUAAGAGGAAAAUCAGAAUAGAAUAGAUGAAAUAUUUUCAUACAUAUUUGUUCUUUAGUCUUGAAUGCAUACUUAUAGGACAUUCUUGUCAUCUUUGAAAAGACAUAUUCAUGGUUGCACUUUGUUGAUACAGCUGUUUUAAAAGCCACGCCUCUUUUGGGGAUAUAUAUAUAAUAUUCAUAGAUAUUUUGUUUUGUUUAAGUACUUGUUCUUUGAUAUGAUAUCUAUGUUUCAUCUUAUAGAGGUAUAACUUGGGAAUGUUACAAGUGUUCAAACACAUGGUAGCGGCGUAAAUGGAAAUCCGAGAAAGACUCAAAGUGAAGGUUGAAGAAGAACAGAAUUUAAUAUAAGUUUAAACCCUUAGAGGUUCGUUGCAUAAACAUGCUGAAAAUAUGUUUUUUUUUUGGUUUUGACGUACGAAUAAAUAAGUAGUGCAUAUCAACUUUCCGUUCUAGGAUAUACUUUUUUUACGAAACUUUAUAGUAAUCAUGCCAAGGGGGUUCCUGUGGAAAAUCUUAUUGCCUACAUUUAUUUCCUUAUGUUUUUUUUUUCUCUAAUCAUUAAUAUUUUAUUUUAUUUCAUAGUAAGCAACAUAAUCAGAAACAAGAAGUAUUUGUGCCAACUGAGGUGUAAAAAAUUGAAACAAAAAACAGUGAUAUUUUUUUCAGUUAAACAACAUACUGGAAAAAUGUUUGGGUGGUAAUAAAACAAACAUAAAAACGUACAUAGUCAUUACUGAUCGCUUUUCUGAAUUAAGUACAACAUACACGUAUUACGAAAGUGAUCAAGACCAAAUGCAAGCUACAACAAAAGUUAUAACUAGACCAGAAAGAUGUGGACGAGAAUGUAUGCAGACAGUCGCAGAAAGACUCAAUACAUACAUGACAUGGCAAUGUACUAGAAUAUGGCCGAAACACUUAGCAGAGUCAGGAUUCUUAAGAACAGGAAAAACGACCGUUCAGUGUUAUAAAUGUGGAAUAAUAUUAGAUACGGAUUACUUCAAGACAUUUCCGAAAACCAUUCAUAAGUUGGUAUCCCAUGAGUGUACCUUUUCUGUCGAACUUGGAAAGGGUGAACAAAUAUGAACUCUCAA
rnacentral:lncRNA from 1 species